rnacentral:rRNA from 1 species
ACGAUGAAUCUUCUAGCUUGCUAGAAGUGGAUUAGUGGCGCACGGGUGAGUAAUGCAUAGGUUAUGUGCCCUUUAGUCUGGGAUAGCCACUGGAAACGGUGAUUAAUACUGGAUACUCCCUACGGGGGAAAGUUUUUCGCUAAAGGAUCAGCCUAUGUCCUAUCAGCUUGUUGGUGAGGUAAUGGCUCACCAAGGCUAUGACGGGUAUCCGGCCUGAGAGGGUGAUCGGACACACUGGAACUGAGACACGGUCCAGACUCCUACGGGAGGCAGCAGUAGGGAAUAUUGCUCAAUGGGGGAAACCCUGAAGCAGCAACGCCGCGUGGAGGAUGAAGGUUUUAGGAUUGUAAACUCCUUUUGUUAGAGAAGAUUAUGACGGUAUCUAACGAAUAAGCACCGGCUAACUCCGUGCCAGCAGCCGCGGUAAUACGGAGGGUGCAAGCGUUACUCGGAAUCACUGGGCGUAAAGAGUGCGUAGGCGGGGUAAUAAGUCAGAUGUGAAAUCCUGUAGCUUAACUACAGAACUGCAUUUGAAACUGUUACUCUGGAGUGUGGGAGAGGUAGGUGGAAUUCUUGGUGUAGGGGUAAAAUCCGUAGAGAUCAAGAGGAAUACUCAUUGCGAAGGCGACCUGCUGGAACAUUACUGACGCUGAUGCACGAAAGCGUGGGGAGCAAACAGGAUUAGAUACCCUGGUAGUCCACGCCCUAAACGAUGGAUGCUAGUUGUUGCCUUGCUUGUCAGGGCAGUAAUGCAGCUAACGCAUUAAGCAUCCCGCCUGGGGAGUACGGUCGCAAGAUUAAAACUCAAAGGAAUAGACGGGGACCCGCACAAGCGGUGGAGCAUGUGGUUUAAUUCGAAGAUACGCGAAGAACCUUACCUAGGC